AAAAUAUAAUAAAAACAAAGACUAAAGAUAAAGACUGUGAAAUCACACAUUCUAAAAGGCAAAGAAAGUAGCAAUAGUAGAGUUAGAUUUAGUCGACUUCCUCCAUCUUGCUGCCCUCAGCAUCGGCAUCGACAUCCUCAAGAGGUGGCAUGUCAGCAUCAGCAUCAGCAGCAUCCUCGUCAAUGCUGAGUCCAAGCUUGAGCAUCCUGUGAAUUCUGUUGCCAAAAGUGUUGGGAUCAUCAAGGCUGAAGCCAGAAGUUAGAAGAGCAGUCUCGAACAGCAAGAGAACCAAAUCCUUCACAGAUUUAUCAUUCUUGUCAGCAUCAGCACGCUUCCUCAGCUCAUCCAUGAUGGGAUUCUCAGGGUUAAUUUCCAUUGUCUUCUUGCUUGACAUGUAACCAGCCAUGCUGCUGUCCCUCAAUGCCUGUGCCUUCAUGAUCCUUUCCAUGUUGGCUGUCCACCCAUAUUCACCAGUCACCAGACAGCAAGGAGAAUCAACCACACGAUCAGACACCACAACCUUCUCCACCUUGUCACCCAAAACAUCCUUAAUCACCUUGCAAAGACCGUCAAAUUUAUCCUUCAAUUCUUCCUUCCUCUUCUUCUCGUCUUCACUCUCGUCAAGUUUCAGUCCUUCCUUAGUCGCAGACACCAACUUCUUUCCCUCGAAUUCCUUAAGCUGACCAACAGCAUAUUCAUCAAUGGCAUCAACCAUGAAUAGCACCUCAUAUCCCUUCUUUUUAAGCUUUUCCAAGAAGGGUGAAUUCUCAACAGCUUUCCUGCUUUCACCGGUAAUGUAGUAGAUGUCACUCUGUCCUUCCUUCAUCCUGGUGACAUAGUCCUUCAGGCUCGUCAUCUCAUCACCACUCUUGGUGGAGUGAUACCUCAACAAUUCAGCUAGCUUUGUCUUGUUCUGGGAAUCCUCGUGAAUACCCAAUUUUAGGUUCUUAGAGAAGGCUUCGUAGAACUUGUUAUAAUCCUCCUUGUUCUCAGCAAUUUCAAAGAAAAGCUCAACACACUUCUUAACCAAGUUCUUGCGGAUGACCUUCAGGAUCUUGUUUUGCUGCAACAUUUCUCUGGAAAUGUUGAGAGGAAGGUCCUCAGAAUCCACAAUACCCUUAACAAAGCUAAGGUACUCUGGAAUCAACUCUUCACAGUUGUCCAUGAUGAAGACUCUGCGUACAUACAGUUUAAUGUUGUUGGGCUUCUUCCUUGUGUCAAAGAUAUCAAAAGGUGCCCUCUUGGGGAUAAAGAGGAUAGCCUUAAACUCCAACUGACCCUCAACAGAGAAGUGCUUCACAGCCAAGUGUUCUUCCCAAUCGUUGGUAAGACUCUUGUAGAAAGCAGCAUAUUCUUCUUUGUUAAUCUCUUCAGGUUUCCUCAUCCAGAUAGGCUUCUGUUUGUUCACCAGAGACCACUCAUGAGACACCUCCUUAAUUUUCUUCUUUUUCUUCUCCUCCUUCUCCUUAUCCUCAUCGACCUCUUCAACUUUACCCUCCUCUUCCUUCUUCUCUUCCUCAUCCUCAUCAUCAGAAAUUUCCUUCUCAGUGGUCUUCUCAAUCCAGAGAGAAAUUGGAUAACUGAUGAAUUCGGAAUGCUUCUUUAUCAAGUCCUUCAAUCGACGCUCCUCAAGAUACUCAAGUUGAUCUUCCUUCAAAUACAAAGUCAUCUUUGUUCCCCUGCCAAGAGACUCACCAUCGGUAUCCCUUGUCACAGUGAAGGACCCUCCAGCUUGGGACUCCCAAACAUACUGCUCGUCAUCAUUGUGCUUUGAGGUAACAAUAACCUUCUCAGCUACAAGAUAAGCUGAGUAGAAACCAACACCAAACUGACCAAUCAUGCUCACAUCAGCACCUGCAGCCAGGGCUUCCAUGAACUCCUUGGUUCCAGACCUUGCAAUUGUACCCAAGUUGUUCACCAAAUCUGUAACAUAAAACGCACAUGUUAAAAAAACAUUACCAUACAAGAUCACCAAUCUCACCAAGACUAACAAACCAUCUUAACUUACCAGCCUUAGUCAUGCCAAUACCACUAUCAAUGAUAGUCAAUGUGUUGUUGGUCUUGUCAGGAAUAAUGUGGAUGAACAGCUCUGGCUGGCCAUCAAGCUUGCUCUUAUCAGUCAGACUCUCGAAUCGAAUCUUGUCCAAAGCCUGUACAGGUAAAAACAUGCCAGAAAUCAGAUAUAACCCCAUAGAGAACAGCAAACAUUCCUAAAUGGAAUGUCACAAAGGGUAAUACCUCAUAAUCAAUCCAAAUCACCCACUCCAUUCGAAAUAAAAAACACAGUAUGUGUCCACCCUUGUUUCGAAUUGAAUUAAUAAAAUACAUUCAGUGAAGCCAUAAACAUUACUAACAAGGUGUUAAACAAAACAGAUCCAAAAACAAACAAAACAUUUUUUCCCUUGAAUUCUCCCUAACUUCUCGAUAUAAAGGUUUCGUUCAGACUGAAAACAAAACAAAAAAAAUGAAACAAAACUUGCGUUGUAACUACAUACAAUGCAAGAGGCUUAGAAAUAAUUAACAAUUAACAAACAUAUACGAGUAUUUCUCUUAAACAACAUUUAGUUAUGAUUUAUUUUCCUUACAGUAUAAUUAUUUAUCUUACAACUAAGGUCGAUAUUAUGAACAUCCCAACAAUGGUAAAAAAAAUCACAUCAUGCCAUUCCAUUUUAGAAAAGUUUAUCAAAAAAAUGUUUAACCAUUUCUUGCGUAGAGAUAUGUUUUCAUAACUCUUGUCAAAUUUAAGACGCGUCAAAACAAUUAUAUUCUGAAACAAACAGUCCUCUUUCAGGUAAAAAGACACAAAGCCAGAGCAAUCGCAAUAGAAUGAACAAUUAAAAGCAGGCAAAUCAUAGAAAUCACAGUUAAUCAAAAAUUAGUUGAACUAUAACACAUCCAGAAAAUCAUGCAGGCGUUGAGUAAUAGAAUAAGAAAAUUCAAACCAUGAUAUAGAAGGACGGAAAAAGACGUCAAAAAACAAAGACAAUAAUAACCUAAAAAGGAUGACAGAAAUAUGAUAAGACGAUUAUGAUAAAUACAUGAAUAAUAAGGAAAAAAACGUUACAUCAGAGGCAUUGCUAAUGAGUUCGCGAAGGAAAAUCUCCUUGUUGCUGUAGAAGGUGUUGAUGAUAAGACUGAGAAGCUGGUUGAUCUCAGCCUGAAAAGCGAACGUCUCCGUCUCCGACAUUUCGGAUCUACCUUCUGUGAUCUUGAGAUUCAGAAAAAGAGAGAAAAGAGAGAAAGUCGCAGGCGAAGAUGCGAAGAAGGAAAGGAAAUGGAACACUGAAACGUUAGGAGUGUGAAGUUAAGUAGGAGUGCUUGGCUAGGGUUUGGGUCUUCUAGAUCCUUCUUUCUAACUACCAAUGUUUAUUCUUCUCAUUUCUCGGAACCGACCCACUCCUUUAUUUGGGUCCAUCUGUUUUUAAAAUUACACUUCCACCCCUCCCUGCUUUUUUUCAUUACUAUAAUUUAUUUUAUGUACUAAAAAUGGUUUAUUUCACUACAAAAUACAAAUUAAUUUUACUUAUUUUAUAUUUAAUUUCAAUUUUAACACUACAAGUAUGUCUGACUAUUUUUUUUAAAGGUUACUUUUUUUUUAAUUCUUUAUUUUAUUUUUGUGUUUGCUUAGUCACUUUAAUUUAAAAAGUUUGAUUUGGUUUUUAAUUUUUUAAAUUAUUUAUUUUAAUCUUUUCCACUAAAUAACUGGUAGAACAUGUUAGAAAAAUUGAGUUUGAAUGUUAUGCUAAAAAUUUUGAUAUAAGUUCUUAAUUAAUUUAUAUUAUGAUAAUACUGGUAUUUAAGAAAUAAAAUAGUUCUGUGAUUGGUUGGGUUGGGAGUAAUUCUUUUUUCAGUAUUUAUUUUUUGUACGACAAAUUAAACAAAUUAUAUUUUAAUACUGAUUUUUUAUAUAUAAAAUUAAAAGAAUAUAAUUUAUAAAUUAUCUAACUGCACUCUUGUGAUAUUGUGAAAAACAUAGUCAAUAUAAUAUAAUAGUUAAAUUUACAAAUAUUCCUGCAAUAUGGUAAAUUUAUAAAUAAUAAGUUUAUUUUAAGUUUACAAAUGUAAUGCAAUAUGGUAAAAAAACUUUAAAAAUCUCAUACAAUAUAGUUUUUAUUUUUUUUAUUUAAUUAAAAAAAAUAUUAAACAAAUUUAAAUUUAUAACACAAUAAACAUAAUUAUAUUAAAACAAUUAAAUCAUUUGAAUUCAUUUUCAUGAUAAAUUAUUAAUUUUGAUUUGUUGUUACUCAUAUAAAAUUAACAAAAAGAAUAUAAAUAAUAAAUUUUGAAUAGAAGAAAAAAAGUGUGUUUUUUUCAAUUAAUUUUGGAAACUGUUUUUUUUUAAUAAAUAAUUAAAAUUAAUAAAUAAAAUUUUUAUAUUUUUAAAAUUAAAAUAAUUAUUUUAUAUAAUUUGAUUAUUGUUAUAAUUUCAUCAAUAAAGAUAUUCGUUAAUAAUAAUUUUAUUUUUUUUAAUAUAAAUUUUUAUUUUUCUUUAAUAAUAUGUAUUAUAUUUUUAAUUCUUUGUUAUUAAUACUAUCGAUUUAUUUUUAUAUAGAUUAUAUGUUUAGUUCUCCGUUAUUAAUAAUAUCUAUUAUAUAUAUAUUUUUACUUUGUUUGAAAAAAAAAAUAUUAUAAUUAUUAUUUUAAGAUUAUGUAAUAGUAAAUAUUUAUAUAUAUUAUUAGUUUUCAUUACAUUACAAUCUUUUAAAAAAAAACUAAAUUUAUAUAAUAGAUAUAUCAUAUUUUUAAACUAAACCAUGUAUGUUCCACUGAUCAAAAUACUAGUAUAUAUAUAUUAUGAAUUUUUAAAAAAUACAUCUUUUGUUUUGAUUUUAUAUUUUUCUGCCCUUCUAAUUAUCAUUUUUUCUUUCUACCUGACAUUUUGCAAAUCAAUUAGUCAAUAUAUUAUAUUAGAAAAGGUUUUUGAUGUAGGUUUCAAAUAUAUUUUCGUUUAUAUGGAAAGAUAGAUGGUAAAUAUUAUGAGAUGAAAUUUCUUACCAUUUUAAGUUUGGAAUUAAAGUUAAGCAAUAUAAAAGGAGUUUUAUGAGACACAAGAAUAUGUCAAGUGACAAAUUAAGAAUAUGUCAAGUAACAGUUUAUGAUAAAUUUGAUUUUGAUUCACAUUUUAUAUGUAAUUGUUCUUGGAUAAUGAAAGGGUGGUCAUUCUCACUAAAAAUAAAGAACAAAUAUUCUUUUGAGUUAAAGAGUAAAUCUAUGCAUUUAAGUCACUUUAUGAGAUAUGUUAAUGGGGAUUGACAUUCUCUUGGUUUUAUUGUUUUAAUGAUUAGUGAUUUUGUUUCAUAUUUAAAUUCCCAACUUUGAGAACUCACAAAACUACAAAACUUAAUUGAUCCAUUUAGGAUUAUGAAGAUACCAAAUAGUAAUGCUCUUUUUCAUAUUUUUUUAGUAUGGUUUUAAAGAAAUGUGUAUUUCUCUUCAUGCACAAUUUUAAAAUCAUGGAGAAUCAAGGACAAUAUAUAACAUCCCCAAAAGUUAUUACUUAUAAAAUAAAUGGCAUCAAAUGAAAAAAAAAAACACUGACUUGGAUUUAUGUAUCCAGAACAUUAGAUAUAUGGGCCGAAAAUCCCUAAUCCCAAAUCUAUCAUCUACCAAAUAAGACUUUUUCUUCCUGCAUCCCCUUUUUCUUGUUGCACUCCCAUACUUUCAAAAUAAUAAUUUUACUCUUCUUUUCUUUAUAUCUCUAUAAAAUUUUCAUAACACACUUUGAGGAAUUCCGGGAACGGGACUUCUAAAAUUUUUGGAAUGAAAUUUUUGAAAUAGGAUUUUUAAAAUAGAAAUUUUAGAAUAAAUUUUCAGAACAAGAUUUACGUAAUGAAAUUUCAUCAAAUAUAUUUUAGAACAUAUAUAAUGUUUUCUAAAAUACGUUUUUUUUAAAUGAUUUAUCACAAGUGCAUUGGCACUGCUUCGAUGCUUCCACAAGUAUGAGAAGCUAGAAAAAGAAAUGUGUAGAUCGUAAAGAAAUAUAGAACAUAAAAAGCUAAAGUUCAAAAUCACGAUCACGAUAUUCAAUUUUCGUAUGAAGGGAAUAAGGUAAAUAUUUAUUAAAUAACUUUAUAUAAAAAAAAUAAAGGAAAUAUGACAUUAUAAAAAAUUUAAUAAACUAUAUUUUAUUCUUCUUCUCUCAAAUAACAAACUUUUUCGAUGGUCUACCCUAUAUUUGUUUCUUCUAUGUUCUUGCUUUCUUUAGCCAUUUUCCCUGUGAUGAUCAAAAUAAUAUUUAAAAAUUCUCAGUUUUAAGUGAUUUGAAAAUUUAUUUUAAUCGAACAUGUUAAUUCAUGGAAAAAUUUCACCUGGUUAAGAUUAUUUAUAAAUAAAAUUAAAUGAUGCAUAAAAAGAUUGAUAAACCAAUCGUUUAAUAUAUAUAUAUAUAUAUAUAAGCACACAUAUAUACAUAUGAACAAUAAAAAAAAAAAAGCUUUGAAAACGUAAACAGUGUAAAAUAAUUUUAUUCGAUAUUUAAUCUGCUUCAGAAAAAAGUAAGUAUAAUACAUCAUAGUGCCAAAAAAAAAUUCAGACAUUGUAUUACGGAGAAGUUAUCAAAACAAUAAUAGUAAUGUUAGAAAUAGUUCAAUAAAACUAUUAUCAUAAAAUGCCCAAAAUAUUUAAAUUUCAAAAUAAAAAACUUACACUGAAUAUCAUUUUAAAAACAUUAUUCAUAAAAAAAACACAUUUUAAGCUACUUUUGGUAAAAACAGUGAUCGAGAUAUAUUUAUAAAAACUCCAGUUAUAUAAAAUGGAAGAAAAUUGGCACAAAAAAAACGGACACAAAAAUUUGACAUAUAAUAAAGAGAGUGAAUCCUAGGUUAACAAAAGUUCAAAUAUUCCAAAAUAUAAUAAAAACGAACACUAAAUAUAAAAAGACUGUGAAAUCACACAUUCUAAAAGGCAGUAGAAGUAGCAAUGGAGUUAGAUUUAAUCGACUUCUUCCAUCUUGCUGCCCUCGGCAUCGGCAUCGACAUCCUCAAGAGGUGGCAUGUCAGCAUCAGCAUCAGCAGCAUCCUCGUCAAUGCUGAGUCCAAGCUUGAGCAUCCUGUGAAUUCUGUUACCAAAAGUGUUGGGAUCAUCAAGGCUGAAGCCAGAAGUUAGAAGAGCAGUCUCGAACAGCAAGAGAACCAAAUCCUUCACAGAUUUAUCAUUCUUGUCAGCAUCUGCACGCUUCCUCAGCUCAUCCAUGAUGGGAUUCUCAGGGUUAAUUUCCAUCGUCUUCUUGCUUGACAUGUAACCAGCCAUGCUGCUGUCCCUCAAUGCCUGCGCCUUCAUGAUCCUUUCCAUGUUGGCUGUCCACCCAUAUUCACCAGUCACCAGACAGCAAGGAGAAUCAACCACACGAUCAGACACCACAACCUUCUCCACCUUGUCACCCAAUACAUCCUUAAUCACCUUGCAAAGACCGUCAAAUUUAUCCUUCAAUUCUUCCUUCCUCUUCUUCUCGUCUUCACUCUCGUCAAGUUUCAGUCCUUCCUUAGUCGCAGACACCAACUUCUUUCCCUCAAAUUCCUUAAGCUGACCAACAGCAUAUUCAUCAAUGGCAUCCACCAUGAAUAGCACCUCAUAUCCCUUCUUUUUAAGCUUUUCCAAGAAGGGUGAAUUCUCAACAGCUUUCCUGCUUUCACCGGUAAU
rnacentral:lncRNA from 1 species